AGCAUAAUUUUUUGAUACCUGGGCAGCUGG
rnacentral:piRNA from 1 species